AUUGAACUCAGGAGCACUCAACCUCUGAGCCCCAUCCCCAGCCCUAUUUUGGAUUUUACUGAGAGACGGGGUCUCACUGAGUUGCUUAGGGCCUCGCUUGUGCUGAGGCUGGCCAUGAACUCGCCAUCCUCCUGCCUCAGCCCCCUGAGCCACCGGGAUUACAGGUGUGCACCACCAUGUCUGGCUAAAGACUAUUCAUUUAACCAUUGUCUUAGUACCUUGUUAAAAUCAAUUGAAAAGCCACACAAGCUGGUGCAUACCUGUAAUCAGACUUAGGAGGCUGAGGCUGGAGGAUUGCAAGAUGGAGGCUAGACUCAGUCACUUUGCAAGACCCUGUCUCAAAAUAAAAAAAUAAAAAGGGCUGGGGAUAUUGCUCAGUGGUUAAGCGGUCCUGGAUUCAAUACCCAGUACUCCACGCCCCCCCCCCCCACCAAAAAAAAAAAAAAAAGCACGGACUUAUUUCUAGACUCAAUUCAAUUUCUUUGAUCUGUACCUAUGUCUCUAUGUCCACCGCUCUGGGCUGACUGGUAGAGCUUUGUAGUAGCUUUGAAAUUGGGAAGUAUGAAUCCUCCAACUGGGUUCUUUUUUAAGAUGUUUUCGACUAGUUUGGGCCCUUCCAUUUAUGGAUUUUAGGAUCAGCUUGUCAAUCAAGCUGGCAUUUUUACAGGGAUGAUUUUGAAUCCAUAGAUCAGUUUGGAGAGUCAUCUUAAUAAUAUUCUUCCAAUCCAGGAAUGCAGGGUGUCCUCCAUUUAUUUAAGCUCUCUGUAGUCUCUUUCAACCAUGCUUGUCAUUUUUAGUGUACAAGACUCACUCUAUAAGCUAAAUAAUCAUGUACUAGUGGAACCAAUAAAUUUUGUUAAAUUGACUCCUAUUGUCAUUCCUUUUUGAUAUUUAAAUAAAAUUACUUUCUUAAUUUUAUUUCAGCUUAUUCAUUGACAGUGUAUAUAAAAUAUAAUUGACUUUUGUAUACUGCAUAUACAACCUUGAUCAAUUCAUUUAUUACCUGAAUAGGUGAGUGUGCGCGUGGAUGUGUGGAUUCCUUUAGAUUUUGUAUGGAUAAGACCAUAUUAACUCUGGCUGCAUUGGCGCACACCUGUCAUCCCAGCGGCUCGGGAGGCUGAGGCAGGAGGAUCUCGAGUUCAAAGCCAGCCUCAGCAAAGGCGAGGCCCUAAGCAACUCAGGGAGACCCUGUCUCUAAGUAAAAUACAAAAUAGGGCUGGGGAUGGGGCUCAGAGGUCGAGUGCCCCUGAGUUCAAUCCCUGGUACCCUUCCCCCCCCAAAAAAAAAGAAAAAUCAGUGAUAGUCUUAUUUCUUUUUUGAAGGCAAAAUGUCUUUUUUCCCUGUAGUACUUCUACUAUAGCUUUGGUUUUAAUUUUUUAAAAAGUUUUUCUGUGAUGUGCCUCAGUGUGGUUUUCUUUGUGUUUAUCUUUUUGGGGAUUUGUAGAGCUUUGUGGAAUCUGUGAUUGAUGUCUUCUAUCAGUCGGGGAGUUCUGCUUUUCUCUCCUUCUUAACUCUGGUCACACAUGUGCUCGACCCUUACCUCAUGUCUCCUCUGUCUCUUUUGCUCUUUUUUUCUCUGAAUAAUUCAAUAUGGGUAUUCCCCGUCGAUCCGCCUUCCAUUUCACAGAUCCAUUGCUUCAGUACUUACGAAUUUCAGUUAUUGUCUCUUUCAUUUCUAGGAUUCCUACUCUUCUUCUUUUUUUUUUCAAAUUUCUUUGGUACCAAGGAUUCCUUCUCUUUCGAUUCCCUAUUUCGGGUAGAAUUCUUGAGCACACUCAUCAAGGCUAUUUGGAAUCACAUUUGAUAAUGUCAUUUUUCGGAGCCACCCAUAUGCUUACUUCUAUUGUCUUUUUUUCCUCUUGUCUAUCCUUUGAUUCUGUUUCCUUCCUAGUUUGUCUUGUAGUUUUAGUUCAAUGUUGGACAUGGUGUCUGAAACAUAUAGAGGCUUUGGCUGGGCACGGUGGUGCACGCCUAUAUCCCAGCAACUCAGGAGGCUGAGGCAGGAGGAUCACAAAUUCAAGACCAGCUUGGGCGAUUUAGGGAGACUUGGUCUCAAAAUACAAAGUAACAGGGCUCAGGGCGUGGCUCUGUGGUAGAGACCCC
rnacentral:lncRNA from 1 species